UUAAGCGACUAAGCGUACACGGUGGAUGCCCUGGCAGUCAGAGGCGAUGAAGGACGUGCUAAUCUGCGAAAAGCGACGGCGAGGUGAUAUGAACCUUUGACCCGUCGAUGUCCGAAUGGGGAAACCCAGUGUGAUUCGUCACACUAUCGUUAACUGAAUACAUAGGUUAACGAGGCGAACCGGGGGAACUGAAACAUCUAAGUACCCCGAGGAAAAGAAAUCAACCGAGAUUCCCCCAGUAGCGGCGAGCGAACGGGGAGCAGCCCGGAGUCUGAAUCAGCUUGUGUGUUAGUGGAAGCGUCUGGAAAGUCGCACGGUACAGGGUGACAGUCCCGUACACGAAAAUGCACAGGUUGUGAACUCGAAGAGUAGGGCGGGACACGUGGUAUCCUGUCUGAAUAUGGGGGGACCAUCCUCCAAGGCUAAAUACUCCUGACUGACCGAUAGUGAACCAGUACCGUGAGGGAAAGGCGAAAAGAACCCCGGCGAGGGGAGUGAAAAAGAACCUGAAACCGUGUACGUACAAGCAGUGGGAGCACCUUCGUGGUGUGACUGCGUACCUUUUGUAUAAUGGGUCAGCGACUUAUAUUCUGUAGCAAGGUUAACCGUAUAGGGGAGCCGCAGGGAAACCGAGUCUUAACUGGGCGUUAAGUUGCAGGGUAUAGACCCGAAACCCGGUGAUCUAGCCAUGGGCAGGUUGAAGGUUGGGUAACACUAACUGGAGGACCGAACCGACUAAUGUUGAAAAAUUAGCGGAUGACCUGUGGCUGGGGGUGAAAGGCCAAUCAAACCGGGAGAUAGCUGGUUCUCCCCGAAAGCUAUUUAGGUAGCGCCUCGUGAACUCAUCUUCGGGGGUAGAGCACUGUUUCGGCUAGGGGGCCAUCCCGGCUUACCAACCCGAUGCAAACUACGAAUACCGAAGAAUGUUAUCACGGGAGACACACGGCGGGUGCUAACGUCCGUCGUGAAGAGGGAAACAACCCAGACCGCCAGCUAAGGUCCCAAAGUCAUGGUUAAGUGGGAAACGAUGUGGGAAGGCACAGACAGCCAGGAUGUUGGCUUAGAAGCAGCCAUCAUUUAAAGAAAGCGUAAUAGCUCACUGGUCGAGUCGGCCUGCGCGGAAGAUGUAACGGGGCUAAACCAUGCACCGAAGCUGCGGCAGCGACACUAUGUGUUGUUGGGUAGGGGAGCGUUCUGUAAGCCGUUGAAGGUGUGCUGUGAGGCAUGCUGGAGGUAUCAGAAGUGCGAAUGCUGACAUAAGUAACGAUAAAGCGGGUGAAAAGCCCGCUCGCCGGAAGACCAAGGGUUCCUGUCCAACGUUAAUCGGGGCAGGGUGAGUCGACCCCUAAGGCGAGGCCGAAAGGCGUAGUCGAUGGGAAACAGGUUAAUAUUCCUGUACUUGGUGUUACUGCGAAGGGGGGACGGAGAAGGCUAUGUCAGCCGGGCGACGGUUGUCCCGGUUUAAGCGUGUAGGUGUGUGUUCCAGGCAAAUCCGGUUCACUUUAACACUGAGGCGUGAUGACGAGGCACUACGGUGCUGAAGUGAUAAAUGCCCUGCUUCCAGGAAAAGCCUCUAAGCAUCAGGUAACACGAAAUCGUACCCCAAACCGACACAGGUGGUCAGGUAGAGAAUACCAAGGCGCUUGAGAGAACUCGGGUGAAGGAACUAGGCAAAAUGGUGCCGUAACUUCGGGAGAAGGCACGCUGAUAUGUAGGUGAAGUCCCUGCGGACGGAGCUGAAAUCAGUCGAAGAUACCAGCUGGCUGCAACUGUUUAUUAAAAACACAGCACUGUGCAAACACGAAAGUGGACGUAUACGGUGUGACGCCUGCCCGGUGCCGGAAGGUUAAUUGAUGGGGUUAGCGGCAACGCGAAGCUCUUGAUCGAAGCCCCGGUAAACGGCGGCCGUAACUAUAACGGUCCUAAGGUAGCGAAAUUCCUUGUCGGGUAAGUUCCGACCUGCACGAAUGGCGUAAUGAUGGCCAGGCUGUCUCCACCCGAGACUCAGUGAAAUUGAACUCGCUGUGAAGAUGCAGUGUACCCGCGGCAAGACGGAAAGACCCCGUGAACCUUUACUAUAGCUUGACACUGAACACUGGUCCUUGAUGUGUAGGAUAGGUGGGAGGCUUUGAAGCGUGGACGCCAGUCUGCGUGGAGCCGUCCUUGAAAUACCACCCUUUAAUGGCUGGUGUUCUAACGUGGACCCGUGAUCCGGGUUGCGGACAGUGUCUGGUGGGUAGUUUGACUGGGGCGGUCUCCUCCCAAAGAGUAACGGAGGAGCACGAAGGUUAGCUAAUCCUGGUCGGACAUCAGGAGGUUAGUGCAAUGGCAUAAGCUAGCUUGACUGCGAGAGUGACGGCUCGAGCAGGUGCGAAAGCAGGUCAUAGUGAUCCGGUGGUUCUGAAUGGAAGGGCCAUCGCUCAACGGAUAAAAGGUACUCCGGGGAUAACAGGCUGAUACCGCCCAAGAGUUCAUAUCGACGGCGGUGUUUGGCACCUCGAUGUCGGCUCAUCACAUCCUGGGGCUGAAGUAGGUCCCAAGGGUAUGGCUGUUCGCCAUUUAAAGUGGUACGCGAGCUGGGUUUAGAACGUCGUGAGACAGUUCGGUCCCUAUCUGCCGUGGGCGCUGGAGAAUUGAGGGGGGCUGCUCCUAGUACGAGAGGACCGGAGUGGACGCAUCACUGGUGUUCGGGUUGUCAUGCCAAUGGCACUGCCCGGUAGCUAAAUGCGGAAGAGAUAAGUGCUGAAAGCAUCUAAGCACGAAACUUGCCCCGAGAUGAGUUCUCCCUGAGACUUUAAGUCUCCUGAAGGAACGUUGAAGACGACGACGUUGAUAGGCCGGGUGUGUAAGCGCAGCGAUGCGUUGAGCUAACCGGUACUAAUGAACCGUGAGGCUUAACCUU
rnacentral:rRNA from 1 species